rnacentral:rRNA from 1 species
CCUUACGGCCAUACAACCCUGAACACGCCCGAUCUCGUCUGAUCUCGGAAGCUAAGCAGGGUCGGGCCUGGUCAGUACUUGGAUGGGAGACCGCCUGGGAAUACCAGGUGCUGUAAGCU